GGAGUGGACGAACCUCUGGUGUACCAGUUGUCACGCCAGUGGCAUGGCUGGGUAGCUAAGUUCGGAAGGGAUAAGCGCUGAAAGCAUCUAAGCGCGAAGCCCACUUCAAGAUUAGGAUACCCAUCCCGAUUCGUCGGGACUUAAGGCUCCUUGUAGACUACAAGGUUGAUAGGUCACAGGUGUAAAGAUAGUAAUAUCAAAGCCGAGUGAUACUAAUAGGCCGUGAGACUUGGAUAA
rnacentral:rRNA from 1 species